CCAGUUACCUUUCUUUGCUUUGCUUUGCUAGCUGUCCCAAACCUUAAAAAGAUUCAAUUUAUUGGCAUAUAUGACACGGAAAAGCAACGAAAUCUAAUAUUUAAGCUGAAACUAGGGAAUGUUUGGAUUUUCCUUGUGAAAUGGAAGGAACGACUAAAAUAGUUGCCAAUAAAUUUUCUGACGAUUGACUAACUGUUGCAGCACUGAUGAAAACCAGACUUUUCCCUUAAGUAACAUUUAGGAAGCAUAUUAGAGCUUCAUCCUCAAGUUAGAUGAAGUUGUUCCUUAUAUUUUUAUGAAUAAUCAAUGAAUUGGUUGCUCUAUAGAUUUAAGAAAAUACCAUCACAAGUUGCCAAAGACCAAGAAGAUGCCUUUAAAUGUCAUGUUUUGUCUUCCAACCGUCCAAAACCCAAAGAUAGAGGAGCUAGAACCAGCAAAUGGUUGGUGUUUUUCCUUGAUAAAUGACUUAAACCAUUAAUCGAUUAUCAUCAGCGAAAAUAAACAGACAAUAGUAAAACUGAAUAUCAUCCAUCGCUGCUGCUGUUCGUUCUCCAGCCUGUUGCCUCCUGAUGUCCCUCAGCCCCAGUGUUAAUUGUCAGUCUUCACACUAAAGGCUUAGACAGGUAUUAACCUUAUUAUCACGGGAACAGCGAUAGAUGAGAGGGAGGAUAUCCUCCCAGCUCGGCUUUGGCUUAUGAGACUGUGACGAGCUGUGAAGCUGCUGAGAAAAGUUGCUUAGUUUCCUCAUGGGGGGAAAGUUGUGAAAUGAAACCUUUACGUGAGAGCACCAAGCAUUCAGAACAGGCAGGUGUUUGCUGCGAUGCCGGGGGCAGGAAAUGAACACUGAAUAGGAAAAAAAAACGUUCAUCAUCCAGCUGGUCUCUGGUUUAUUUUGUCUCAGGGGAGUUUUUCCUGUCAUGGGAGAGACGGCAGCGAUGUGGAGAGAACGUUUCCGAGAACCACUCAGAUGUAGAAGUUGCAGGUUGAUGUUUAAAAGCUGAAGAGUGAAGUGAAGGAUACUCUAGGCUGUUUUCAGAUUUUGUUCAGCUGGGACCAAGAGCUGAGACUCUGGAGGAAAUUCACUCCGACGCCGAGCUCCAGUUUGUCAUUACUCAGGGAGGUUCGUUUUCGAGGGGAGUUCAAGAGGCAAGAAAGGAGGCAGUAAAGUUUCCUUGUUUCCUUGUUGAGCUGCUGCAGCCUGGACACAAACACCAGCUCUCACCUCACAGGACGUGAAGCAGGAAACACUGGAGCUCAGAGUCGGAGACAUGAAGAUAAACAGAUGUUAAAAGGCGCUUUGGAGCUGUUUCCGUUGAACGCGAGUGAGGCUGAACGCUGAGCACACCUGCGGUUCGAAGGUUUCCUUGUUUCCUUGUUGAGCUGCUGCAGCCUGGACACAAACACCAGCUCUCACCUCACAGGACUCAGACAUGAACCAGGACUCAGCGGAGCUCAGAGAGAUGAACAGAGGUCACCACGUCAUCCACGAGACCAGAGACCAGGACCAGGACCAGAUCCAGAUCAAUGGAGGCCUCCAGGUAAUUUAGAAACCACAUCAAUAAACUUUAUUUGAAAUUUGUGUAAAUAUCAAACAGAUGUAAACUCUGUGGUGUUGGCUGAGAGUUGGUUCAGAAAAGAUGAAGUUAACAGUUUUUAUUCUCUUAUUGUUUUUCAGGUGAACUCGCAGAAACCAUCAGAUCCACUGAAGGUGAAGGUAAGACCACGUUUUAUUUCCUCCUUUAAACAACACUCACUACUAGUAUUAGUAAAGUUUAACUGUAGCAUUUAAUAGUAAUUAGUAUUUAGUUAGUACUUUAAUGUAGUUACUUCCUGUUUAAUGUCGUCUCUGUCCUGAUACUAUGUGUUACAACUAAUU